UACAGAGGUCUCAAGCGUUGUUCGGAUUCAUUGGGCGUAAAGGGUGUGUAGGUGGCGCGCUAAGUCGGGUGUGAAAUUUCGGAGCUUAACUCCGAAACUGCAUUCGAUACUGGCGUGCUUGAGGACUGGAGAGGAGUACUGGGAAUUCGAUGGUGUAGCAGUGAAAUGCGUGAGAGAUCAUGAGGAAGACCAGUGGCGAAGGCGGGUCUCUGGACAAGUUCCGUGACGCUGAGGCACGAAGGCCAGGGGAGCAAACGGG
rnacentral:rRNA from 1 species